GGUGGUCCCAAAUACCAGCUGGCAGAAAGUACCUCAUUAUUACAGACUGAGCAACUCCUCUGUCUUUCCAAAGUCGUAGGCACUGCUAGGGCAGGUCAAAAAGGAGGAUCCAAGGUGGAGCGCUGUGCUUGCCUCCCCUGGGGAAGCUGGGCUGCUGCUGUGGACAGGGUGUUUGUUGCCUUUUGUGUCCCUGUCCUCAGUGCUGUUCCUGCCAAUUGCUGUCAUUGGGAUUUAGUGGUUCUGCUCCUUAUUACUUUACUGUGGCUGAACUUUUGCAAACUGUUCAGCCGGUCUAAAAGGCAAACGUCUUAAAGGAUACUGAUAUGCUGACUGUAAAAAAGACAGACCUUUGCACUUCUUUUCAGCUAAUGGGACCAAAGAGUUCUCUAGUGUGUUGUGGAAGAUGAGAUGGAAAGUGUCUGCUUGUCAGUCUCUCAAAUGUGCCUUCGGAGCGCUCCUAUGAAUUCCCCCCACUUCUCUUCCACAAGCCUUUGGCUUCUGGGGGGUUGUGUGGGUAUUCAUAAAUUGAAAAGCGGGACCGGUCUGCAUUUUAAGGAGGAUUCAUUGAAGUGCUUUCAUUCCUUGGGCUGAUUAUGAACACCACAUACUUGCACUUGAGAUGCUGUUCUUGUACUUUCAACUAUAGAUGAAUAAAGGAAUUUAAUAGUUACACGUGUCCUGGAUGAGAGGUAGCUUCUAUAGCUCUAACUUAAAGAAAAGAAAACAAAGACAAAAACCACAAAAAAACCCACAUUUUUCUGAAGUGGCCAUAAAUUGUAAUUAAACAAGACAGAUCAUUAUUCAUAGUACAUGAGACUGCCUGCUCCUCUUUGAUAAUGUGAUGAUCAUUACUAUGCUAAAAACCUUAAGAAAUGUCUUAAUCUGCAUAUUGAUACAGAUCUUUAUAAUGGUUUGUUCUGUGUUUAUAUAAGAGCAUAAUGGUAUUGUUAAGGUAGUGCUAAUGUUCUAAGGACUUAAAUGGACCAAGUUUUCAAAAGGAUAAUGCCUUUUAUUAGAUCCACAGUUACAGUUGGAAAACACUGGCAAAUUUUGGUCUAACAGUUCUCUGUCAGCCUUUUAGCAAUUAUGCUUCCUCGAUGUGACGUUCACGCUUUUUUUGCUCUUUUUUAUUUACACUGUUGCUUGGAUUCCUCCUCUAAUCAUGAACGAUUAAAAACACAUUUUGUUGUUUCACAUUACACCUCUGUAAUUAUCUGUGGGAAUAAAUCUGUGAUAGCUGUCCCUCUAGCCAACGGCAUGCUUGCAGUAUAGGUUGCUUAGAAACUUCCUAUUUUUGGCUGCUCACUAUUCUCCCUGGUUAUUUUUCAGGCAUACUGCUCUUUUCUUAAAAUUGAUUUGCAGAAUACUCCUCACAACUCAUGCAGUAGGAUCAGGACAGUAGUAAAUGCUGUAAGUCCCAGCUGGUGUUUUAUAUCUAGAUGAUCUGCUCUUUGUUAGAGUCUGUUUGUUACUGUCUAUGUACCUCUGCUGGUGAGCAAUGACUUCAUCUGCUGUGAAUGUGAGUAACCUGAUUUUGAGUAAUUUUUAGAAAAGUCAUGGCCACAAUCUCCUGUUGACUUUGAUGUCUGCAAGAUAUU